GUGUCAGCCGCCGCGGUAAUACGUAGGAUGCGAGCGUUAUCCGGAUUUACUGGGUGUAAAGGGAGCGCAGGCGGGACUGCAAGUUGGAUGUGAAAUACCGCAGCUUAACUGCGGAGCUGCAUCCAAAACUGUAGUUCUUGAGUGGAGUAGAGGCAAGCGGAAUUCCGAGUGUAGCGGUGAAAUGCGUAGAUAUUCGGAGGAACACCAGUGGCGAAGGCGGCUUGCUGGGCUCUAACUGACGCUGAGGCUCGAAAGUGUGGGGAGCAAACAGGAUUAGAUACCCUGGUAGUCCACACUGUAAACGAUGAUAGCUAGGUGUGGGGGGUCUGACCCCUUCCGUGCCGGAGUUAACGCAAUAAGCUAUCCACCUGGGGAGUACGGCCGCAAGGUUGAA
rnacentral:rRNA from 1 species